rnacentral:piRNA from 1 species
UAACUGUGCCUUCCAUAACCUUCCUGUGAC